CUUAACGCGAAGAACCUUACCUGGGCUUGACAUGUUCCUGACCGUCCUGGAAACAGGGCUUCCCUUCGGGGCAGGAUCACAGGUGGUGCAUAGCUGUCGUCAGCUCGUGUUGUGAAAUGUUGGGUUAAGUCCCGCAACGAGCGCAGCCCUUAUCCUUUGUUGCCAGCGGUUCGGCCGGGAACUCAAAGGAGACUGCCAGUGAUAAACUGGAGGAAGGUGGGGAUGACGUCAAGUCAUCAUGGCCCUUACGAGUAGGGCUACACACGUGCUACAAUGGCGUAUACAAAGAGAAGCGACCUCGCGAGAGCAAGCGGACCUCAUAAAGUACGUCGUAGUCCGGAUUGGAGUCUGCAACUCGACUCCAUGAAGUCGGAAUCGCUAGUAAUCGUAGAUCAGAAAGCUACGGUGAAUACGUUCCCGGGCCUUGUACACACCGAAG
rnacentral:rRNA from 1 species